UUUAAACUUGUGUCAACAUUAUAAUUAUUAUAUAAAUGAUGGAUCAUUUUUUGAUAACUUUUUUCAUUGUAUCUUCUUUUACAAAGGCUGUAACAUAUUGUCCUUUUGGAAGGAACGGGGCAUUGAGUUGCUGCUACAAUUUUUAUCCCGUCAAUAAUACUUGCAAUGAGUGUCCAGCUGGGUAUUUUGGAUACAACUGCUCUCAAAUAUGCAUUGACAAUUGGUAUGGAUCUAUGUGUACUUCAAGGUGUUCAUGUCCUCCAGCAGAAAGCAAUCAUAUCAGUGGUUGCCUGCAAA